rnacentral:lncRNA from 1 species
AGAUUUAAAAACCUUGAAGAAAAAACUGAUUUGAGAUAAAAUCUGAUUUAGAGGGACUAAAUACGCAAAUAAACCAAUGAAACAAAACGCGCGGAUCCUCUCCGGGUCGGGUCACCGCGCAGAUUUGAAAGCCUAAACGACGUUGUAUCAUGGCCACGGCAACAAGCUUUGAACGGCGUCGUUUCUCCCGUCAUAUAAAGGCUAAAUUAAGC